UACGAGAGGCGCAAACGUUAUUCGGAAUUACUGGGCUUAAAGAGUUCGUAGGCGGCGCAGAAAGUAGGGUGUGAAAGCCCUCGGCUUAACCGAGGAAUUGCGCUCUAAACUACUGUGCUUGAGGAACCUAGAGGUGAGCAGAACUGAUGGUGGAGCGGUGAAAUGCGUUGAUAUCAUCAGGAAUACCGGAGGCGAAGGCGGCAUCCUGGACCGGUAUUGACGCUGA
rnacentral:rRNA from 1 species